AUUGAACGCUGGCGGCAUGCCUUACACAUGCAAGUCGAACGGCAGCACGUCCCCUCGGGGAUGGUGGCGAGUGGCGAACGGGUGAGUAAUACAUCGGAACGUGCCCUGAAGUGGGGGAUAACGUAGCGAAAGUUACGCUGAUACCGCAUAUUCUGUGAGCAGGAAAGCAGGGGAUCUUAGGACCUUGUGCUUUAGGAGCGGCCGAUGCCGGAUUAGCUAGUUGGUGGGGUAAAGGCCUACCAAGGAGACGAUCCGUAGCGGGUCUGAGAGGAUGAUCCGCCACACUGGAACUGAGACACGGUCCAGACUCCUACGGGAGGCAGCAGUGGGGAAUUUUGGACAAUGGGCGCAAGCCUGAUCCAGCCAUGCCGCGUGAGUGAAGAAGGCCUUCGGGUUGUAAAGCUCUUUCGGCGGGGAAGAAAUUGCGUGGGUUAAUACCCUGCGUAGAUGACGGUACCCGCAUAAGAAGCACCGGCUAACUACGUGCCAGCCGCCGCCGUAA
rnacentral:rRNA from 1 species